UCUACGAGUUUUGUUCUUUGUCUUUAUUUAUCAAAUAAUAUUGAAAGUAAUAUUAAUUAGUUUUGGCUCAUGAAAAGAAAUCAAGGCAAUGCAAAUUUUGAAAAGUUAAUAUUGACGUAUGUUUCAGGUUUGGAAUUGGAUAGAGGAAACCUAUGAAAGCAUUUCAUAGAAAAAAUGCCAUAAGAAGUCCAAUCUAAAGUUGAAGAAUUGGCUUAAGCUACACGGCACUUUGAUUUAUCUACUUGCCCUUACUAAACUCCAAUUUUACUUUGCUCAUUGN
rnacentral:lncRNA from 1 species